UACAGAGGGUGCGAGCGUUGUUCGGAAUUAUUGGGCGUAAAGAGCUCGUAGGCGGUGUGUCACGUCGGCCGUGAAAACCUGCAGCUUAACUGUGGGCGUGCGGUCGAUACGGGCAUCACUGGAGUUCGGCAGGGGAGACUGGAAUUCCUGGUGUAGCGGUGAAAUGCGCAGAUAUCAGGAGGAACACCGGUGGCGAAGGCGGGUCUCUGGGCCGAUACUGACGCUGAGGAGCGAAAGCGUGGGGAGCAAACAGG
rnacentral:rRNA from 1 species